UACGUAGGGGGCAAGCGUUGUCCGGAUUUAUUGGGCGUAAAGAGCUCGUAGGCGGUUCCGUAAGUCGUGAAGUCAAAUCUCUGGGCUCAACCCAGAAUCGCUUCCGAUACUGCGGUGACUGGAGUCCGGUAGGGGAGUGUGGAAUUCCUGGUGUAGCGGUGAAAUGCGCAGAUAUCAGGAGGAACACCAACAGCGAAGGCAGCACUCUGGGCCGGUACUGACGCUGAGGAGCGAAAGCAUGGGAGCGAACAGG
rnacentral:rRNA from 1 species